rfam:Oryza sativa (indica cultivar-group) chromosome 10, whole genome shotgun sequence.
ACCAUUCUAUGAUGAAUUGUCCUUAGUGGAUUCUGAUGAACCUGAUGUCAUUUUGGUUCAAUGAGAACAUGCUAUGACAUGUCUGAGACAAU